rnacentral:rRNA from 1 species
UACGAGGGAUCCUAGCGUUGUUCGGAAUCAUUGGGCGUAAAGCGGAUGUAGGUGGCUUUGUAAGUCAGGUGUGAAAGCCCAGAGCUCAACUCUGGAAGUGCAUUUGAUACUGCGAAGCUUGAGUGUGGAAGAGGUAAGUAGAAUACCUGGUGUAGUGGUGAAAUACGUAGAUAUCAGGUGGAAUACCGGAGGCGAAGGCGGCUUACUGGUCCAACACUGACACUGAGAUCCGAAAGCGUGGGGAUCAAACAGG